rnacentral:other from 19 species
GUCUCCCGAGGCAGUAAUGCCUCGGCCUCAUUGAAAC